rnacentral:rRNA from 1 species
GACGAACGCUGGCGGCGUGCUUAACACAUGCGAGUCGAACGGAAAGGCCCUGCUUUUGUGGGGUGCUCGAGUGGCGAACGGGUGAGUAACACGUGAGUAACCUGCCCUUGACUUUGGGAUAACUUCAGGAAACUGGGGCUAAUACCGGAUAGGAGCUCCUGCUGCAUGGUGGGGGUUGGAAAGUUUCGGCGGUUGGGGAUGGACUCGCGGCUUAUCAGCUUGUUGGUGGGGUAGUGGCUUACCAAGGCUUUGACGGGUAGCCGGCCUGAGAGGGUGACCGGCCACAUUCGGACUGAGAUACGGCCCAGACUCCUACGGGAGGCAGCAGUGGGGAAUAUUGCACAAUGGGCGGAAGCCUGAUGCAGCAACGCCGCGUGCGGGAUGACGGCCUUCGGGUUGUAAACCGCUUUCGCCUGUGACGAAGCGUGAGUGACGGUAAUGGGUAAAGAAGCACCGGCUAACUACGUG